rnacentral:rRNA from 1 species
GACGAACGCUGGCGGCGUGCUUAACACAUGCAAGUCGAACGGAAAGGCCCUGCUUUUGUGGGGUGCUCGAUUGGCGAAGGGGUGAGUAACACGUGAGUAACCUGCCCUUGACUUUGGGAUAACUCUACGAAAAUCCGGCUAAUACCGCAUAUAAGCUCUUGCUGCGCGGUGGGCGUUGGAAAGUUUCGGCGUUGGGGGAUGGUCUAGCUGCUUAUCAGCUGGUUGGUGGAGUUGUGGCUUACCAGGGCUUAGAAGGGUAGCCGGCCUGGGAGGGUGACCGGCCACAUUGGGACUGAGAUACGGCCCAGACUCCAACGGGAGGCAGCAGUGGGGAAUAUGGCGCAGUGGGCGGAAGCCUGAUGCAGAGACCCCGGGUGCGGGAUGCCCGGCUUCGGGUUGUAAACCGCUUUCGCCUGUGACAAAGCGGUAGUGACGGUAAUGAGUAAAGAAGCACCGGCUAACUACGUG